UGAGCCAGGGUCACCACAAGGAACUACAGUGCUGAGACACCAUUCUUGGACAUAGAUUCUUACAUGUCUAUGUGUGGAUGCACCUUGAUGUCAUAUUGGAAUCUACUAGGAGGUCCAGGGACACUUAUGUAGUGCUCUGAUGGGAGCUGCCAGAAGGGGCUCUGCUCUGCCCCCCUUGUUCUCCCCAGUGCUGUUCAGCACCUGCCUUUAAACCUGCCAUCAGAUGGAGACAUCGCACAUAUCAGGCCCUAGAACUUCCCAGUGCCUGUCACAGACAGUUCUGCGCAGAAAUUCACCCCAGGAAAGCUUCCCAUUCUUCUUUGACCCACUCACUUCUGCAUGUCUCAGUGUUGCAGGAGGCCCCAAAUCUUGGAGUCUUUGUCUGUAUAAAGUGUCCCAUGCACUCCCCAGAGGCCCACAGACCCAGGCCAAACCCUUCUGACUUCAGUUCUCAUUUUCAGUGAGCUCAGGUUGGUCCAACUCAACUGGGCAUCUUAUAGAUUUGGACAACAACCUACUGCUGCAGUUGCAGAGCCCUGCCCCAGCCUUUUCUUUGCCUUGGAUGGGGUAGUGCUGGCCCAGGUGGUCCUCACAUGCUGAUAGAAGUCCCUAAUACUGCUGUGACCACCUGUCCUCCCUUCUUCACGUAAGCCUAACAUAAACCUCCCUUUCCAA